CAGAAGAUUCAAGAACUGGUGAGAUGGUAGUUAUUACAAGGGCACUCAUGCCCAAGUGGUUGCAAGGAGAACCGGAUGGUUGUAGUUGGGUUCACCUGUGAAUGACCCCUUCUGAGUCAGGUUUGGGAAUGCAGCCUGAAGUAGGUGGUAAACUCUGUCUAAGGCGAAAUAUUUGGACGAGACCAAUAGCAGACAAGUACUGUAAGGGAAAGUUGAAAAUUUUUUGAAGAGCGAGUUCAUGAGGGUGUGAAACCAUUAAAAGGUAAAAAGGAUGGGGUCCAUGGCCUGGGUAUAACGACGAAAACUAAUCUAACAGUC